GACAGCAGUAGCCGCGGGAAAACGGAGGGUGCAAGCGUUAAUCGGAAUUACUGGGCGUAAAGCGCACGCAGGCGGUCUGACAAGUCAGAUGUGAAAUCCCCGGGCUUAACCUGGGAACUGCAUUUGAAACUGUCAGGCUGGAGUCUUGUAGAGGGGGGUAGAAUUCCAGGUGUAGCGGUGAAAUGCGUAGAGAUCUGGAGGAAUACCGGUGGCGAAGGCGGCCCCCUGGACAAAGACUGACGCUCAGGUGCGAAAGCGUGGGGAGCAAACAGGAUUAGAUACCCGGGUAGUCCCUGUCUCUUAUAC
rnacentral:rRNA from 1 species